AUCAGCACUGAACUGAGAAUAUUCACCAUGGAGUUGAGUCUGAGAUUGGUUUUUCUUGUUGCUCUUAUAAAAGGUGUCCAGGGUGAGGUGCUGUUGGUGGAAUCUGGAGGAGGCUUGGUACAACCUGGUGGUUCUGUAACACUCUCCUGUGUGGCAUCUGGAUUCACUUUUAGUAAUUAUUACAUGCACUGGGUCCGCCAGGCCCCAGGAAAGGGGCUAGAGUGGAUCUCACGCAUUAGCAAUGGUAAUGGUGAUGAAAAGCUGUAUGCGGACUCUGUGAAGGGCCGAUUCACCAUCUCCAGAGACAAUUCAAAGAGCACUCUGUACCUGCAAAUGAACAGUCUAAACACUCAAGACACAGCCAUCUACUACUGUGCAAGACACACAGUGAGUGAGGAUUAA